rnacentral:tRNA from 1 species
GCCGAUGUAGCUCAGGUGGUAGUAGCGCUUCCAUGGUAAGGAAGAGGUCACCGGUUCGAGUCCGGUCAUCGGCUCCA